GAUGAACGCUGGCGGCGUGCCUAAUACAUGCCAGUCGAGCGAACAGAUGAGGAGCUUGCUCCUCUGACGUUAGCGGCGGACGGGUGAGUAACACGUGGAUAACCUACCUAUAAGACUGGGAUAACUUCGGGAAACCGGUGCUAAUACCGGAUAAUAUAUUUAACCGCAUGGUUCAAUAGUGAAAGACGGUUUUGCUGUCACUUAUAGAUGGAUCCCCGCCGCAUUAGCUAGUUGGUAAGGUAACGGCUUACCAAGGCAACGAUGCGUAGCCGACCUGAGAGGGUGUUCGCCACAACUGGACCUGAAACACGGUCCAGCCUCCUACGGGAGGCAGCAGUAGGGAAUCUUCCGCAAUGGGCGAAAUCCUGACGGAGCACCGCCGCGUGGGUGAUGAAGGUCUUCGGAUCGUAAAACUCUGUUAUUAGGGAAGAACAAAUGUGUAAGUAACUAUGCACGUAUUGACGGUACCUAAUCAGAAAGCCACGGCUAACUACGUG
rnacentral:rRNA from 1 species